CCUACGGGUGGCAGCAGUAGGGAAUCUUCCACAAUGGACGAAAGUCUGAUGGAGCAACGCCGCGUGAGUGAAGAAGGGUUUCGGCUCGUAAAGCUCUGUUGGUAGUGAAGAAAGAUAGAGGUAGUAACUGGCCUUUAUUUGACGGUAAUUACUUAGAAAGUCACGGCUAACUACGUGCCAGCAGCCGCGGUAAUACGUAGGUGGCAAGCGUUGUCCGGAUUUAUUGGGCGUAAAGCGAGUGCAGGCGGUUCAAUAAGUCUGAUGUGAAAGCCUUCGGCUCAACCGGAGAAUUGCAUCAGAAACUGUUGAACUUGAGUGCAGAAGAGGAGAGUGGAACUCCAUGUGUAGCGGUGGAAUGCGUAGAUAUAUGGAAGAACACCAGUGGCGAAGGCGGCUCUCUGGUCUGCAACUGACGCUGAGGCUCGAAAGCAUGGGUAGCG
rnacentral:rRNA from 1 species